GCAGCACACAGCAGCUAAGCUCCAAUCUGUCUUUCUGCAAUGCAGCCUCUCUGGUCAAUACUCAUUGCCCUGUCUGCCUCUUCCUCAUGUGUCCUCUCACAAGUGGUGCUGACCCAGUCAGAUUCGGUGUUAACAAAACCUGGAGAAUCCUAUAAGCUGAUCUGUGUCACCAGUGGGUUCACUCUUGGCGACUACUGGAUGAACUGGAUCAGACAGAAACCAGGCAAAGGAUUGGAAUGGCUUCUUCAGUAUUAUGAUGCUUCGAGCAAGUAUUAUUCCCCUUCAAUCCAGGGGCGAUUCACAGCCUCUAAGGACAGCACCAACUUCUAUCUGCAAAUGAACAACCUCAAAGCAGAAGACACUGCAGUCUAUUACUGUGCAAGAGACACAGUGAAAGGGAUCCCAGCAGAGCUCAGACAAAAUCCCUUGGCUGAAAGAACUUGA